AGCCCUGUAGUGUAGUGGCCAAUCAUCCAGGAUUUUGGGUCCUGGGACCUCGGUUCAAAUCCGGGCAGGGCUA
rnacentral:tRNA from 1 species